rnacentral:misc_RNA from 1 species
AACCAUUCUCACCUGCGGCUAGACCUGCGGAAGGAUCAUUACCGAGUUUACAACUCCCAAACCCCUGUGAACAUACCACUUGUUGCCUCGGCGGAUCAGCCCGCUCCCGGUAAAACGGGACGGCCCGCCAGAGGACCCCUAAACUCUGUUUCUAUAUGUAACUUCUGAGUAAAACCAUAAAUAAAUCAAAACUUUUAACAACGGAUCU